rnacentral:lncRNA from 1 species
UUGAAUUCCAGGGACAAUGCUCUGAGUUCUACCACUCACUUAGAUAUUCUUCCUGUUGCAUCCCGAUUGUGGAGAAUUUCUCCCAAGGGGGAAGUCUGUUACGAUGGAGAUGUUGUGCUCCUGGAAGUAGUGUCGUAGCUUUUGUGAGGUGAGUAGUAUUGCGUAUAACAAUUUUUGAACUAGCAGGUAUCUAGCCUUGGAAU